rnacentral:rRNA from 1 species
AGAGUUUGAUCCUGGCUCAGGACGAACGCUGGCGGCGUGCCUAAUACAUGCAAGUCGAGCGAAUUGAUGGGAGCUUGCUCCCUGAUAUCAGCGGCGGACGGGUGAGUAACACGUGGGCAACCUGCCUGUAAGACUGGGAUAACUUCGGGAAACCGGAGCUAAUACCGGAUAAUCCUUUUCCUCUCAUGAGGAAAAGCUGAAAGACGGUUUCGGCUGUCACUUACAGAUGGGCCCGCGGCGCAUUAGCUAGUUGGUGAGGUAACGGCUCACCAAGGCGACGAUGCGUAGCCGACCUGAGAGGGUGAUCGGCCACACUGGGACUGAGACACGGCCCAGACUCCUACGGGAGGCAGCAGUAGGGAAUCUUCCACAAUGGACGAAAGUCUGAUGGAGCAACGCCGCGUGAGCGAUGAAGGCCUUCGGGUCGUAAAGCUCUGUUGUUAGGGAAGAACAAGUAUCGGAGUAACUGCCGGUACCUGAC